UACUGCCGUUGUCAUGGCACCAUUUUCUCCAACUCCUCUGUCUUCUUCUCUAAAUAUCAUCUUCUUUUGCUUUAGGUAAUGUCAAAGGCAUCUUUUCCUCGCAACACACCAUGACGAAACAUUGCUCAAGCCCCUUUCUACACGAUUAUUUUGUUUUUCAUUUUCAUUAUAGUCUUUGUCUUUGCCUUCCUGGAACCUCUCUCUGUGUUGAUUUUUCUUUUCCAUAUUUCAAUUGGUGCCAUUGAAUUACCAUCUUGCUAAUCAUUCUAGUUCCGCGAUCCGGUGCUGAGAGAAGAUUUCUUUGAACCACUUUCCAAUGGCAUUGAGCAGCCAAAGGGCCUUCACUUCAGCUACUGCAAUUUGUCCAUGGAAAUACGAAGUGUUUUUGAGUUUCAGGGGUGAAGACACUCGCAGGGGUUUUACUGACUAUUUAUACAAACAGUUGGACUGGCGAGGAAUUAUAACUUUCAGGGAUGAUCCAGAUCUUCAAAGAGGGACAGAUAUCAAUCCGGAACUUCUGACCACGAUUGAACAAUCAAGGUUUGCAAUCAUAGUUCUUUCAAGAAACUAUGCUUCAUCAAGUUGGUGUUUGCGUGAACUAACCCAUAUUGUUCAGUCCAUGAAAGAGAAGGAGAGAAUUUUCCCAAUUUUUUAUGAUGUGGAUCCCUCUGAUGUACGACAUCAACGGGGGAGUUUUGGGACUGCCCUCGUUAACCCUGAAAGGAAUUGUGGUGAAGACAGAGAGGAGGUGCUUGAGUGGAGAAAUGCUUUAGAAAAAGUUGCUAAUCUCGCUGGCUGGAAUCUAAAGGGUUACAGGUAUGAUACAGAGCUUAUCACAGAAAUUGUUGAUGCAGUGUGGGAUAAAGUGCAUCCCACAUUUUCACGUUUAGAUUCCGCAGACAUAUUAGUCGGACUUGAUACUAAACUAAAGGAACUAGAUCUGCAUUUAGAUACAAGCGCAAAUGAUGUGCGCUUUGUGGGGAUAUGGGGGAUGGGCGGAAUGGGUAAGACAACCCUAGCUAGAUUAGUUUAUGAGAGAAUUUCUCAUAGUUUUGAAGGUAGCAGCUUUCUUGCAAAUGUCAGAGAGGUUUAUGCAACACAUGGUCCAGUUCCUUUACAGAAACAGCUUCUUUCCGAUAUUUUGAGGAAAGAAAAUAUACAAGUUUAUAAUGCUCAUAGUGGAUUUACUAUGAUAAAGAGGUGUCUAUGUAAUAAAAAGGUUCUUCUCAUUCUUGAUGAUGUAGAUAAAUCAAACCAACUGGAAAUGUUGAUCAGAGAAAAAGACUGCUUUGGUUUGGGAAGUAGAAUCAUUAUUACAACUAGAGAUGAACGCUUGUUAGUCGAACAUGGGAUUGAGAAGAUAUAUGAGGUCAUGCGAUUAACCGAGGAUGAAGCUUUUUAUCUCUUUAGUAUGAAGGCCUUUAAAAAAGAUGACAUUGAAGAGGAUUAUCGGGAGCUGUCUAAAAAUUUCAUAAACUAUGCAGGAGGUCUUCCAUUAGCUCUUCAAACUUUGGGGUCUUUUUUGUACAAAAGAAGUCGAGAUGAAUGGAUGAGUGCACUAGAUAAACUGAAGCAAGCUCCUGACAGAGAAAUUUUUCAAAUUUUGAAAAUAAGCUAUGAUGGACUAGAGGAAAUGCAGAAGAAAAUUUUUCUUGAUGUUGCAUGUUUCCAUAAGUUUGGUGACAAGGAAAAAGUGAUUGAAAUACUAGACAGUUGUGGUUUUGUUGGCACUCGUAUUGCGAUACAUGUUCUUAUUGAGAAAUCUCUCUUGUCUCCUUCAGACAUGUGUGUGCGUAUGCAUGAUUUGAUACAAGAAAUGGCAUGGGAGAUUGUUCGUCAGGAGUCUCCUGACGAGCCAGGUGGUCGCAGUCGCUUGUGGCUUCACAGUGACAUUGUUCAUGUACUCAAGAACAAUACGGGAACGGAAGCCAUUGAAGGCAUAGUCCUACGCUUGCAUGAAUUUGAAGCGGCACACUGGAAUCCUGAAGCAUUCACUAAGAUGUGUAAACUAAGGUUGCUCAAGAUUAAUAAUUUGCGCCUUUCUUUGGGCCCAAAGUAUCUUCCCAAUUCUUUAAGGAUUCUGGAGUGGAGUUGGUAUCCCUCCAAAUGUCUGCCACCAAGUUUUCAACCUGUUGAUCUUGUUGAACUUCUUCUGCGGCAUAGCAAAAUUGAUCACCUUUGGGAUGGAAUGAAGUACAUGGUGAAGUUGAAAUCUAUUGAUCUUAGUUACUCCGAGAACUUGACAAGGACUCCAGAUUUCACAGGUACUCAGAAUCUUGAGAGGCUGGUUUUUGAAGGUUGUACUAAUAUUGUUAAGAUUCAUCCAUCCAUUGCCUCUCUCAAAAGACUAAGAGUUUUGAAUUUUAAGAACUGUAAAAGCAUUAAGAGUCUCCCAAGUGAAGUAGAACUGGAAUCUCUUGAAAUAUUUGAUCUUUCUGGUUGCUCAAAAUUGAAAAAGAUUCCAGAAUUUGUGGGAGAAAUGAAGAAUUUUUCGAAGCUUUCCUUAAGCUUCACUGCUGUUGAGCAAAUGCCUUCAUCAAAUAUACAUUCCAUGGCGAGUUUGAAGGAGCUUGAUAUGAGUGGAAUUUCUAUGAGAGAUCCCCCAUCUUCCCUGGUUCCAGUGAAAAAUAUCGAACUGCCUAGAUCAUGGCAUUCUUUCUUCAGUUUUGGCUUAUUUCCAAGAAAGAAUCCUGACCCUGUGAGUCUGGUGUUAGCUUCCUUAAAGGAUUUAUGCUUUUUGACGUGUCUAAAUCUGAAUGACUGCAAUCUUUGUGAAGGAGCAAUACCUGAAGAUAUUGGUUUAUUGUCCUUUUUAGAAGAAUUAAAUCUUGAUGGAAACCAUUUUAUUAGCCUUCCUGCAAGCAUCAGUGGGCUUUCUAAUCUUUGGAGCAUCACAUUGAAGAAUUGCAAAAGGCUUCAAAAAUUGCCAAGCCUUCCAUCAAACGGACCACUAGAUAUUUACGGACCACUAGAUAGUCUUGUAAACACUGAUAAUUGUACUUCCCAGAUCCAACACCGAUGUGCAAUGGUGUAAGUUUUAUGUCGAUUAGUUCUCUCAAUUGCUUCAGUUUGAUUGACCAUCAAGGUUCCAGUUCCAUAAUAUUUUUAAUGGUGAAGAAAUUCCUUCAGGAAAUUCCUCGUUCUUUGUUCUCCUUCGAUAUUUUAAUUCCUGGAAGUGAAAUUCCUGAUUGGUUCAAUAAUCAAAGUGUGGGAGGCUCAGUAAUUGAGACACUACCUUCGGAUUCUAAUAGCAAGUGGGUGGGGUUUGCUUUUUGUGCUCUAUUUGUACCUGCUCAAGAAAUUUCAGCUACUGCUACGAAACAUAAUUCAAUUAGUUUUUUUUGCCUUUAUGAUGAUUUAAACACCCCUGCGGGCGCGGGUUAUGUUAUUCCCAUAGACGAUGUAGCGUCUGAUCACCUUUGGUUGAUCCUCCUGUCUAGGCAACAUUACUAUUGGGAACCAAGACACAGUCCUGAGACCUAUUGGAGGGAGAAAUGCCAUGAUCAUAAGAUGAGGUUUCAUUUAAAUGCAAGAUCUCAUCAAGGAGUGAAGGUGAAGAAGUGUGGAGUCCGCGCACUAUACGAACAAGAUGCGGAAGAGCUCAACCAAACAAUGAACAGUACUGUACUGAGACAGGACCAAGCGGUAUUGGUACCCUUGGCAAAGAAUCACUCUGCAAAAGAAUGAAAGAAGACUAAUCAUAUCCAAAUUUGGUUGGGGGAGAGAGUUCAGUCAUCCGAAAGCCUAACGGGUGCAUUUUACCAACAAACCAUUUAAGCAUAAAUAGACAUCUAUGGAGACAUCUAUUUAUGCUUAAAUGGUUUGUUGCUUAGGCUAAAUUCCACAUGUGCUGUAUAAAUUCAGUAGGCUAAUUAGUGAAGCCCAAUUUGAGAGAUUGACACUAACUGGGGCGUGGACAACUCUGAGAUAACAUGUGCUGUAAGCCCAGGUUAGGCCCUCCACGACUGGGCUCUAGUUUGAAGUAGCUGACGUCAUGCUGACAUCAGCGAAGUGAAAUCAGAUUAUUUAUUUUUUUAAAUUUUUACCGUUGGCACGUUAAAUUUUUUUUAUUUUUGUCGAUGACAUCAGGGUGACGUCAUGCAUGAUGCCAGCCCUAACAGCUCCCAACAGGAAGACGCCACGUGGCGCUUCUCGGACACUCCUAUCGGUUUUUGUCCAGAAAUAUGAUGGUCUUGAGUGUUUUGGUUAAAA